rnacentral:rRNA from 1 species
GGCUACACACGUGCUACAAUGGGUAGUACAGAGAGUCGCAAAGCCGCGAGGUGGAGCUAAUCUCAGAAAACUAUUCUUAGUUCGGAUUGUACUCUGCAACUCGAGUACAUGAAGUUGGAAUCGCUAGUAAUCGCGAAUCAGCAAUGUCGCGGUGAAUACGUUCUCGGGUCUUGUACACACCGCCCGUCACACCACGAGAGUUGGUUGCACCUGAAGUAGCAGGCCUAACCGCAAGGAGGGAUGCUCCGAGGGUGUGAUUAGCGAUUGGGGUGAAGUCGUAACAAGGUAUCCAUACGGGAACGU